AACGCGAAGAACCUUACCUACCCUUGAAUCCUCGGAAGCUAGCAGAGAUGUUGGUGUGCCUUCGGGAGCCGAGAGACAGGUGCUGCAUGGCUGUCGUCAGCUCGUGUCGUGAGAUGUUAGGUUAAGUCCUGUAACGAGCGCAACCCCUUUCCUUAGUUACCAGCGGGUAAAGCCGGGGACUCUAAGGAUACUGCCGGUGAUAAACCGGAGGAAGGUGGGGACGAUGUCAAGUCAUCAUGGCCCUUACGGGUAGGGCUACACACGUGCUACAAUGGUCAGUACAAAAGGCAGCGAAGUCGCGAGAUGGAGCCAAUCCUCUAAAGCUGAUCGUAGUCCGGAUUGGAGUCUGCAACUCGACUCCAUGAAGCUGGAAUCGCUAGUAAUCGUAGAUCAGAACGCUACGGUGAAUACGUUCCCGGGCCUUGUACACACCGGACACGC
rnacentral:rRNA from 1 species